UCAGUAUUGCUUUCUUUACAUCAUAGUCUUGAUUCAGUUUAGUCCUGGCCAGCAGUUGGACUCCAUGAUCCUUGGGGUCCCCUCCAGCAUGGGAUAUUCUACAAUCCUGUGUCACCUGUCUGCCUGACUUCAGCGCUUAGCACCCAGUGGGUGCCCCAGUGUUCACUGGGCUGAGGCAUGUUGGCCUCUGUACCCUGCAUACACUCAGGAUUUUGUUCUUCUCUGGGUUGUUUAUUCAGUACUGAGCUACGUGUGUCUCCACAAGCAGCAGCUCUGUGCCAAGAGGAGGAAGUUAUAGGAGGAAACCAGCAACAAGAGCCUGUUGCUCAAUUAGCUGCGUUGUCAGCAGCGCUUGGCUUACAAAAGCCGCACUUGGGAUUGUACAACCCACACACAUUGCACAAAGCUGGCCUCAGGAGGAGCUGAGGUUUUGCCUAUUGGUUGCUCCUCUGCCAUGUGCUGGCUGUAUAGGUGAUGGGAGAGGUCUGGGGGUCAGAAAAGCAAGGACAAGCUCAGGCAAAUCUUUCCUCCAAGCACAGACAGGGAGGAAAUGUUUUUCACAUUUUUUCUAUCAGGACAUGAGGGAUGAUUCAACAGGACCCCAAGGCUGUGCCCGUGACAAACGUGCUCAGAUGACCAGAGGGAUGCAUUUUCUUGUGAGGUAGUGCCUUCUCUUUUUAUCAGGACCAUGGUAGAGCUAGCUGGAUGCACUUCUGCUCUUUGCAAAAGCUACAGAAGGAUAGAAAAUAGUCAAAUGCAUGUGGAAUGCUGGGAUAAUUUGCCACCUCAUUCCUAUAGAUUUUGCUAAGUUUUGAACCUUCCCAGUGCCUCUGAGAGCCCUGGCUGCCUUCAAGCCCUGACUAAGGCCCUGAAGACCUGGAUGUGAACUGCCUGAAAACCAGUGCCCAGCAUGAUCCUGGCUGUUUUCCCAUGGGAAGGAACAUUGUUGCAGUGAUGCAGGAACUUCCUUCAUCUGCCUGACGCAUCCGCUUCGGGUCAUUAAGAAAGCAUUUCUCAAUCGGGAGCCGAGAGAAGUAGGAAGUCCCAGCCUUGUUUUACAAGAGACUGGCUGUUUGCAGUGUUUCCCAAUCGUUUUGCUCUUCCCUCAGCCUUUGGAAAGGAAUCCUCAAUCCAGGCUGCUGCAGUGGAGCAUGGCGUGUAGGAAACAAGUGUUCCCUGCAUCUUACAGCAUCAUGUGGGGUGUCCCUGGGGCUCCUCCAUUUUUGCUGGAGCUGGGACCUGGAAGAUGCAAGUAAGGCUGCACUGAAAGGCUCAGUGGUUGGAAGUUGGCCAGGCUUUGGACACCACAGUGCUGGGAGAAAACUGUUCUUCUGCAGAUAAUGGCACCAUUUUUUUUCCUUUAAUUGGGAAUGACAUUUGUUCCCUAACCACAGCUUUCCCUGCAGAGGUAGGAUUUAAUCCCACAGUUUGCCUGCCCCAGAGGGACAGUUUAAUCCUCAUGAGCCCUGCAGUCACACUGCCUGGGGGAGUGUGUAGGUUUCGUGGUGCAGACCCAAGCAUGAUGCUCCCUGACAGGCAGCUGUAAAUCUCCCAAAGUACACAGCUGGUUAACCUCAUCCAUAUGUUGAGAUCCACCAAGAAAACACUGCCCUCUGGCAGAUGAGCGACCGCGCUAUUUAAUAAAUCAGCAUCGCAAACUCACAGUGGGUUCACCUGAGCAGGGUGGGGGCUCACCUUACACACACGCCAUGCAUUGGUGCCCAAGCAGAAGAAAAUCCAAGCUGCUAAGCUCUCAGUAUGAUCUCCAGGUGCUCUGCACACACACACCACGCUCUCGUAUCGCCACAACCUCUCUUAAACAUAGACAGGCUUCCUCUGGCUUUGUGGGCGAAGGGUGUGCAGCCUCCCUCCAGCACCUGCAGCCGAAGGCGUGACUUGGCAGCAGGUGACACUGCCUCUCCCUGCCUGUAACCACAGCCCUGUGCUUGCAGGGCAAUCCAAGCAGUGCCCGUGGCACCGGGUGCUCCCACCGCCCCGGCAAAGAUGGUGGAAGGAGUGCUCGCCAAACUCUUCCCCAAACGGCCAUCUGCUCGCUUCGUGCAGAAAUAUCAGCCCCUUGGGAGCACCGAGCCAGAAGAGGAGAGCCAGGAGUGUGAGCUGAAAGUUAUUGAACAGGAGAAGGAAGUGACAGUCCUGCUACCAAAAGAUGCUUGUAAAUGCCAUAAAGAAGACUUGGCUAAAGCCUUAAACGUUGAUUUACAGACUGGCCUCUCUGAGUUUUCUGUGCUGCAGCGAAGGUUAAAACAUGGCUGGAAUGAAUUUUCAGUAGAUGCCACAGAGCCUAUAUGGAAGAAAUACCUGGACCAGUUUAAAAAUCCCCUCAUUCUCCUGUUGCUGGCUUCUGCUUUGGUAAGCGUCAUCACUAAGGAGUACGAGGAUGCUGCGAGCAUCACCAUGGCUGUGCUCAUCGUGGUCACCGUGGCCUUCAUCCAGGAGUAUCGUUCUGAAAAGUCUCUGGAAGAGCUGAACAAGUUGGUUCCUCCUGAGUGCAACUGCCUGAGGGAAGGAAAACUGCAGCAUCUUCUAGCAAGAGAGCUUGUGCCUGGAGAUAUCAUAUAUCUUUCUGUUGGUGAUAGGGUACCUGCAGACCUCAGGCUAAUAGAGGUUACAGAUCUGUUGGUGGAUGAAUCCAGUUUUACAGGAGAAGCUGAGCCUUGCAACAAGACUGAUGGUGUGUUACUAGAAGCUGGAGACAUAACCACUCUGAGCAAUGUUGUUUUCAUGGGGACCCUGGUGCGAUAUGGGAAGGGAAAAGGUGUAGUUAUUGGGACAGGUGAAAAUUCACAGUUUGGAGAGGUGUUCAAAAUGAUGCAAGCUGAAGAGACUCCCAAAACACCUCUCCAAAAAAGCAUGGACAGACUGGGGAAGCAACUCACCCUUUUCUCCUUUGGCAUAAUUGGUUUAAUAAUGCUCAUUGGCUGGUUACAAGGAAAGCAUCUUCUCAGCAUGUUCACCAUUGGAGUUAGCCUGGCAGUGGCUGCCAUCCCAGAGGGCCUUCCCAUCGUGGUCACUGUGACACUGGUGCUGGGUGUUCUUCGUAUGGCCAAGAAAAGAGUGAUUGUGAAGAAGCUGCCCAUCGUAGAAACCUUAGGCUGCUGCAAUGUCAUCUGCUCAGACAAGACGGGCACUCUGACUGCCAAUGAGAUGACAGUGACUCGACUUGUGACCUCAGAUGGCUUCCAGGCAGAGGUCAGUGGGGUGGGCUACAAUGGAGAAGGAAAUGUUUUUCUUCUGCCAUCAAAGGAAAUACUUAAAGAAUUUUCCAACGUCUCAGUUGGGAAACUAGUGGAGGCUGGCUGCGUGGUCAAUAAUGCCAUUAUCAGGAAAAACAGUGUGAUAGGACAGCCCACAGAAGGAGCUCUUCUUGCUCUCGCAAUGAAGAUGGAAUUAGCUGACAUAAAAGAUAUUUAUGCAAGAAAGAAGGAAAUUCCAUUUAGCUCUGAACAAAAGUGGAUGGCUGUGAAAUGCACACUGAAAAAUCAGGAUCAGGAAGAUAUUUACUUCAUGAAAGGGGCAUUUGAAGAAGUGAUUCGACAUUGCACUAUGUAUAACAGCAGUGGCAUCUCAUUAAUGCUCACACCUCAGCAGAAAGCCUCCUACCAGCAGGAAGAGAAAAGAAUGGGCUCCUCAGGUCUACGAGUACUCGCUUUGGCUUCAGGUUCAGAACUUGGCAAACUGACCUUUUUGGGCCUGGUUGGAAUAAUUGAUCCCCCCAGGGCUGGAGUGAAAGAAGCUGUGCAGGUCCUUGUUGAGUCUGGUGUCUCAGUAAAGAUGAUAACUGGAGAUGCCCUGGAAACUGCUGUGGCUAUAGGGCAGAAUAUUGGUCUCUGCAAUGGAAAACUGAAAGCCAUGUCCGGGGAAGAGCUGGAUCAAGUGGCAGAGUCAGAACUCUCAUCAACUGUCAAAAAUAUUUCCAUUUUCUUUAGAACAAGUCCAAAGCACAAGCUAAAAAUCAUAAAGGCUCUGCAGAGAGCUGGUGCCGUUGUGUCAAUGACAGGAGAUGGUGUUAACGAUGCUGUGGCUCUGAAAUCUGCCGAUAUUGGGAUUGCCAUGGGGCAGGCGGGUACAGAUGUCAGCAAAGAGGCUGCCAACAUGAUCCUUGUGGACGAUGACUUCUCAACAGUAAUGAAUGCAAUAGAAGAGGGAAAAGGAAUAUUUUACAACAUAAAAAACUUUGUCCGGUUCCAGCUGAGCACGAGCAUUUCAGCUUUGAGCUUAAUUACUCUGUCAACAGUGCUCAACCUACCUAAUCCCCUCAAUGCCAUGCAGAUCUUAUGGAUCAACAUCAUCAUGGAUGGGCCCCCAGCCCAAAGCUUGGGAGUUGAACCUGUUGAUAAGGAUACAAUCAAACAGCCACCCCGAUGUAUUACGGACACUAUACUCAGCAAAUCACUGAUCCUGAAAAUCUUCAUGUCAGCUCUAAUUAUCAUUAGUGGAACCCUCUUUGUCUUCUGGAAGGAGAAUCCUAAAGGUGGCAUAACCCCCCGGACCACAACCAUGACUUUCACGUGUUUUGUGUUUUUCGACCUCUUCAAUGCUCUGACGUGUCGCUCUCAGACAAAGCUGAUACUGGAAAUAGGCUUUUUUCGAAACCGCAUGUUCUUGUAUUCUGUGCUCGGGUCAUUUCUGGGACAGCUGGCUGUUAUAUACGUCCCUCCAUUACAGAAGAUCUUCCAGACAGAGAACUUAGGAGUGCUAGACUUGCUCUUUCUUACUGGACUGGCUUCCUCAGUUUUCAUCGUGUCUGAGUUGGUCAAACUCUGUGAAAAACACUGCUGCCACCAGAAGCACACCAAGGAAUGCAGUAACUGAUGCCCAGAGAUGCCCAGAGCAGAGCUGUGAUGCUGGGGAACUCAAUGCAUUGGUCUAACAAUAGCAUCUUUUCCAAAGACACCCCAGUGAAUCUGUACCAAACAUUUCUUCCCACUCCAGUCUGUUCCUUUUGUGCACUGUACAUAAGCUAUGUGAGCUGUCUACAGACAUCUCUGGAAUGACUCCUGUUUUAAAGCAAGAUCAGAACAGUUCCUGAGAGAGCAGUGUGCCAAAUACCCCUGCUCCAGUUGGCCAUGUGCUGCCAAGGGCUGUUGGCUGGGUUCAGCAUCCAGGAGAGCUUCCCUCCCGUCGGAGCACAGCCACCUGUAAUGCAGCUCCAGGUGCUGUAGGAACUCCUUUGGUUCUUCACACUGGCUCUCCCCCACCACGGCGUCCCAUCAAGCCUGGCCCCAAGGGAGAAGGUGCUUGGGAUGAGAAGGAAACGACAACUGCCCAUGAGCCCUGUUCUCAAUCCAGUGGUCCAGACAAAGGGUGGCUGCACAGAUGGAGGCACCAAAACCUGGUCUCACCCUCUGCAAGCGCUGCACUUGACUUGUGAGUGAAGGAAGAUCCUUUUGGGUGCUCAGCCAGGAGCCUGGGACCUGAGCCUGCCUGCUUUUCCUGGCCUGCAGUGAUUGUGCUCCAGAGAAGGUUGGGGAAUAACCAAUAACCCCUGGCCCCUCAUCUGCCAAGCAGCAGCCCUGCAUGAGAAAAGAGCGAAAGGAAGGGAACCCAGCUGCUGUAAGGGCUGAGCUGCACAUCAAAGUCUAAUGGGCCACCUCAACCCCACUGAUGCCUUUCACUCAGCUCUUCCCAUUACCAUGCUUAUGCCUAAAACGUGUGCAAAUUCCUUUUUGUAAAAACACUCCAGCAGUGGGGCCAGCUUGCCACUUUGCUGAUAUAAAUCAAAGUUUCCAUAAACUCUGUCUAUUUUAAUACCUUGUUUUUUAAAGGUUUGUCACAUGCAAGCAAGGCAAGAAAACAAAACUGGCCAUGUUCCAAAGUGUAAUGCAUGCCUCCAUUAGUUGUUCUUUGCAUCCAACCCAGUCCGGCCAGCAACUGCUCCCUGCCAAAGCCCCUCCUCCUGCUUAUCCACUCGAUGUAAAGUAUUCCCAUGCUAUGGCAGAGACAAUGAGAACCAUUCCUAUAGAGGGUACCAGUCCAGACAAAACAUCAAAAGUCAGUCCAGGCAAAAUAAAGAUAUGAGCUCCUGAAAAAUGAGGGGAAAUAAAUGGGGAAGGUCCCUCUGCAAGCCUCAGAUGUCCAGGGACUUGGAUACACUCGGUUAUCUCAGCCACAGGAGGAGACAUAGAACACAGCACUGAUGCUGGUGCUGUUGACCUUCCAGGAAAACAAUGCUGAGAUAACAUUGGGCUGAACUUCAGAAGCACUGAGCCCUGGGUCCCCCCGCAUGCUGGCUGCUCUUUUUUAUCCUAAUAUUGCACAUGAAGAGCUAGGUGGGAAGGAGUUUUUGCCACAUACGUCAUCAGCUCUUCUGACAUCAUCUAAAGGAUGAUUUUGGCUUUGAGAAUCUUCCCUGCAGAGCUCCCAAGAACAGCUGGAAUUGAGUAGCUGUAAUAAUCCUGGUGAGAACCCGCUGCAAACGUCAGAGCAGAGCAUUCUGAACCCUUCUGAUCACCAACUGCAAUGCAAAGGCUACAACAUAUUUUCUCCUUUGAUAUUUUUUAACUGACCAAACCCUGCCCACAUUUAAGUCGCUGGAAAUCCUUCUUUCUGACCCAGUGAAUGCAGCCAAGCCCCGGGGCAGGGAAGACCCAUGGAAUAGGCAGUGGCAUUUCUAUGGACGUGGGGCUUUGCCUUCAGUGCCACAGGGCUCUGCACACCUGGAGGAGGGAGAGAUUGUUCAGCACCCAACUCCUCUGCAGUACAAAUAUAACAUAAAAACACAGACCUUACACUUGCUCUAUAACUAGAGGAGGGAGGAAGCUUUGCCGGCAGCAGAGCAGCAUUAUCUACAGUUCAUUACAAAUGCUUCAUACCAGUGUUGUUAAACAGCAGCCCCGCCGGGGGAGAAGCUGUCCCACAUCCCCCAGAAGUUAUUUGGAGCAAAGUCAAAGCUUUGUAAAAGGCGUCGAAAGUUGCGAUCAGGUGAAGUUAAAUAUCUGUUUAUCUUUGGCUUUCCCUGGGCUUUGUUGAUAAUCCACAUCCGACAGUGGAACGAUCAGCUGCCACGUCUCAACCCGGAGCCCCACGGGUGGGUCGUGCUGUGCCACAGCCUCCUGUUCCCAGCGCAUUGUUUGGGGCAGAACCGCAGCUCAGAUUUCACCUUCUGAAAAAAUCUGAGCAAGCCUUCUACACGAGGUUACAUUAGCACCAUUUAUUGCAAAACAAGCUGUCUGAGUUCAUUUUUAGGCACCAAAACGGAACGCUUCUUUGCUCGUCGGCAAGAGGUCACUCUUUGAAAACGCGGCGCCAAACAAUGGGACUCCUGCUAAUCGAACCUUUUGUCUUGGUGAUGGUGGAGAAGCAAUGAGAAAUUGUGCAAAAGGGUGGAAAAAGCCCCAAGGAUCUUAAGUCCGGGGGUGAAACAAAGGAGUGGUUGGACUACGGACUGCAGGGAGUUGUGCUUCAUGGCAGCAGGAAACCCAACCGUGCAGGACAGGGGAAGCAGCACCAAUUGCAAUUCCCUCAAGUUUUCUCCCAUCUCUCCCCCUGUAUGUGCCAAAGGCAUCGGGAAGGAGCUUACCUGUGCACUUCCUCUUAAAGGUUUCAUAGUCUACCCCUUGGUCUCCGGGGACGAUCGUAGAGCCGUUGUAUUUAAACGUCACCCUUUGGGAAGGGGAAAAGAGAAGGGAGACGGGAUUUAAAAGUCAGUCUUAUGGAAGGCAAAGGAGGAGAAGGGGAGGAACGCAUUCCAAAAAACAUCCCGGGGAAAGGGGGAAGAGGAGCCGGGGA